rnacentral:tRNA from 2 species
AAUGAAGUGCCUGAAAAAAGGGUUACCUUGAUGAGGUAAAUUAUGUAAAUUUACCUUCAUUA